UACAGAGACUGCGAGCGUUAUUCGGAUUCACUGGGCGUAAAGGGUGCGCAGGCGGCCAUGUGUGUGAGGCGUGAAAGCCCUGGGCUCAACCUAGGAAGUGCACUCGAAACUGCAAGGCUGGAGUCCUGGAGAGGAAGGCGGAAUUCUCGGUGUAGAGGUGAAAUUCGUAGAUAUCGAGAGGAACACCGGUGGCGAAGGCGGCCUUCUGGACAGUGACUGACGCUGAGACGCGAAAGCGUGGGGAGCAAACAGG
rnacentral:rRNA from 1 species